rnacentral:rRNA from 1 species
AGAGUUUGAUCCUGGCUCAGGCCGAACGCUGGCGGCGUGCCUAAUACAUGCAAGUUGAGCGAUGAAGAUUGGUGCUUGCACCAAUUUGAAGAGCAGCGAACGGGUGAGUAACGCGUGGGGAAUCUGCCUUUGAGCGGGGGACAACAUUUGGAAACGAAUGCUAAUACCGCAUAACAACUUUAAACAUAAGUUUUAAGUUUGAAAGAUGCAAUUGCAUCACUCAAAGAUGAUCCCGCGUUGUAUUAGCUAGUUGGUGAGGUAAAGGCUCACCAAGGCGAUGAUACAUAGCCGACCUGAGAGGGUGAUCGGCCACAUUGGGACUGAGACACGGCCCAAACUCCUACGGGAGGCAGCAGUAGGGAAUCUUCGGCAAUGGACGAAAGUCUGACCGAGCAACGCCGCGUGAGUGAAGAAGGUUUUCGGAUCGUAAAACUCUGUUGGUAGAGAAGAACGUUGGUGAGAGUGGAAAGCUCAUCAAGUGACGGUAACUACCCAGAAAGGGACGGCUAACUACGUGCCAGCAGCCGCGGUAAUACGUAGGUCCCGAGCGUUGUCCGGAUUUAUUGGGCGUAAAGCGAGCGCAGGUGGUUUAUUAAGUCUGGUGUAAAAGGCAGUGGCUCAACCAUUGUAUGCAUUGGAAACUGGUAGACUUGAGUGCAGGAGAGGA